UGUAUACCAUCAUCUCUGUUUUGAUAGUGUAUGGUCAUGGAUGUAUUUACUAUGAAUAGUAGAUACGUCCAUAAACAUUCACUAUCAAUACAGAGAUGAUUGUGUUUU
rnacentral:sRNA from 1 species